AAUGAACGCUGGCGGCAUGCCUAACACAUGCAAGUCGAACGAGACCUUCGGGUCUAGUGGCGCACGGGUGCGUAACGCGUGGGAAUCUGCCCUUGGGUUCGGAAUAACUCGCCGAAAGGCGUGCUAAUACCGGAUGAUGACGUAAGUCCAAAGAUUUAUCGCCCAAGGAUGAGCCCGCGUAGGAUUAGCUAGUUGGUGGGGUAAAGGCCCACCAAGGCGACGAUCCUUAGCUGGUCUGAGAGGAUGAUCAGCCACACUGGGACUGAGACACGGCCCAGACUCCUACGGGAGGCAGCAGUGGGGAAUAUUGGACAAUGGGCGGAAGCCUGAUCCAGCAAUGCCGCGUGAGUGAUGAAGGCCUUAGGGUUGUAAAGCUCUUUUACCCGGGAUGAUAAUGACAGUACCGGGAGAAUAAGCCCCGGCUAACUCCGUGCCAGCCGCCGCCGUAA
rnacentral:rRNA from 1 species